UACGAAGGGGGCUAGCGUUGCUCGGAAUCACUGGGCGUAAAGGGCGCGUAGGUGGUUCUGUAUGUCUACCGUGAAAGCGUACGGCUCAACCGUAUUUUGUCGGUGGAAACUGCAGGACUUGAGGCUGGGAGGGGCUGGUGGAAUUCCCUGUGUAGCGGUGAAAUGCGUAGAGAUGGGGGAGAACACUUGUGGCGAAGGCGGCCAGCUAGACCAGUUCUGACACUGAGGCGCGACAGCGUGGGGAGCAAACAGG
rnacentral:rRNA from 1 species